AGUGAACGCUGGCGGCGUGCCUAAUACAUGCAAGUCGAACGAAGUGGCGCACGGGUGAGUAAUAUAUAGUUAAUCUGCCCUACACAGAGGAACAACAGUUGGAAACGACUGCUACUACCUCAUAGUGUAGGAUGAGACUAUAUCGUAUCAGCUAGUUGGUAAGGUAAUGGCUUACCAAGGCUAUGACGCGUAACUGGUCUGAGGAGAUGAUCAGUCAAAUUGGAACUGAGACACGGUCCAGAAUCCUACGGGAGGGAGCAGUAAGGAAUAGUGCGCAAUGGGGGAAAGCCUGACGCAGCAACGCCGCGUGGAGGAUGACAAGUUUCGGAGCGUAAACUCAUUUUAUUAGGAAAGCGGUACCUGAUGAAUAAGCACCGGCUAACUCCGUGCCAGCAGCCGCGGUAAUUC
rnacentral:rRNA from 1 species